rnacentral:rRNA from 1 species
UCCGCAUGGACUUAUGAUAAAGAUUUAUCGGCGAUGGAUGAGGAUGCGUCCGAUUAGAUAGUAGCGGGUAACGGCCACCUAGUCGACGAUCGGUAGGGGCUCUGAGAGGAGGAUCCCCCACAUUGGAACUGAGACACGGUCCAAACUCCUACGGGAGGCAGCAGUGAGGAAUAUUGGUCAAUGGACGCAAGUCUGAACCAGCCAAGUAGCGUGAAGGACGACGGCCCUACGGGUUGUAAACUUCUUUUGUACGGGAAUAAAGUGAGGCACGCGCUGCCUUUUUGCAUGUACCGUACGAAUAAGCAUCGGCUAAUUCCGUGCC